AGUGAACGCUGGCGGCAGGCCUAACACAUGCAAGUCGAGCGGCAGCGCGUCCGACCACCCUCGGGUGGUCGGAUGGCGGCGAGCGGCGGACGGGUGAGGAAUGCAUCGGAAUCUGCCUCGUUGUGGGGGAUAACGUAGGGAAACUUACGCUAAUACCGCAUACGACCUACGGGUGAAAGUGGGGGACCUUCGGGCCUCACGCGAUGAGAUGAGCCGAUGCCGGAUUAGCUAGUUGGCGGGGUAAAGGCCCACCAAGGCGACGAUCCGUAGCUGGUCUGAGAGGAUGAUCAGCCACACUGGAACUGAGACACGGUCCAGACUCCUACGGGAGGCAGCAGUGGGGAAUAUUGGACAAUGGGGGCAACCCUGAUCCAGCCAUGCCGCGUGUGUGAAGAAGGCCUCGGUGUAAG
rnacentral:rRNA from 1 species